rnacentral:lncRNA from 1 species
GGAGACUAUUUUUAGGCCUUUUAUAAGUAAAUAUUACAAGAGGUGAACCAUAAAUUGGGUUUUGAAUUAGGACCGAAUUGUUAUGGUUAUGGUAAGUACAGGCAUCUUCUGUAAAUAGUUGUAUCCUUUCUAAUCGUAAGCAACUUUUCAGAAAUACAAUUUUUCUCCGUUUACUUCUAUCUUUCCUUUCUGCUGUUUUUCUAAUAGUACUGGUCAUUUUAAAUUGUACAGAUGGCAAUAAUAUCUCUAUAUUCCACAUAAGGAUCAACCUAUUUGAGCAUUGCUCUGUGGAUAGCUGAUCAAUGGACUCAGGUACCUUUGAGGUCACUCAUAGUCGCUGACCACAGCCACAAGCCUGCAACCCAGCCCAGAUUCAGCUCCGAUGGAUUAUUUGGCUGUGUCUCUGCAAAUGUACAAAAAGGGAAUAAAUGGGAAAAUAAAAUGCAGGUGAUAGAAUUUUAUCAUUAUUGAUUACUAAUGUCUGCCAAAAUAUCAGUGAAUUAUGAAAUAUGGAUGCUGCUGCUGACUGGAUAAGGGAUUGAUAAUCUAUGGAUUAUCAAUUCUGCCACUAGGAAUUAGCGCAUAUAUGCUCCAGUAAAUGGUCUUAAAGAGGUUGACUAUUUAACUCUUUACUGAUUAUAUACGAUCUUAAUCAGUUCAUGCAAAAGGGAGUAAUUUCAUACCAAAGUAGUUUUCAACUGGCAUUAUUAUAAUGGUUUUGAUUUAUCAUUUUUUCUUAUAUUCAGUAUGCCGAAGAUUUUGAAUGAGUAUUUGAACAUUAUAUAGGUAAGUCUUGGAAUUUGGGCACUUGUCUUUAUUCGUACAUCCCAGUGAAAUUAUAUAAAACUGUUGCAAAUUGAUAUGUUUGGAACAUGAACAUUGUUCUCUACCGUAUAUGCAUGCUACCCAAAUAUAUAAAGUAGCUUUACAUAUGAAAAUUGAUGUAUCUAACAGCUUUGAGCAUGAUUGUGUCUUCUUGCAUUCGGCAUUUUAAUUUCCGUGCUUUGUUUCUUUCCACAAAUGGUUAUUAUUUUGUGAUCCUCUUAUUCUAUAACUACCUUCUCUUUGCCUGUUUAUAUCUUACUUAUCUUACCUUUUCAAUUGUAAAUAUGCAUGCAAAGAUAAAACGUCUGUUGGAUCAAGUGAGUUGAUGAUGACGCUGGGGUGCUGUUAUCUGUCAUGUCUCGGAAGUCUGAAACCAGAAAUGCUAUGGGGAGAUUGCCCAUACCGAAGAUAAAGUGUUUGCCUUUUAGUUAGCACAGGUUUGGAAUGAAAAAAUUGUUUGUAGGAGACAUUCUCCAAAUAUCAUGUUUGGUAAUUAGUUGUAAAAAAGAACUCAUAAUGCAUUAAAGAAAAAUGUUCAUGACAAGGGAAUGCUCCUUACCUUAGGCGUACCUUUUUCUUUCUUUGGAGAACUCACGAAAUAUAGACAAAUCUAAACAUGAAGUUAUGAACAUUAUUCAAAUGAAAGUAGUUGAAAG